GUCUACAGUCAUGCCACUCUGAACAAGCCCAGUGUCUGAUCUAUGAAGCUAAGCAGGGUCGGGCCUGGUUAGUACUUGGCUGAGAGAACACUUAGGAAGACCAGGUGCUUUAGGCA
rnacentral:rRNA from 1 species